GACGGAGGAUGCAAGCGUUAUCCGGAAUUAUUGGGCGUAAAGCGUCCGCAGGUGGUUAAUCAAGUCUGCUGUCAAAAUGCGAGGCUCAACUUCGUAAAGGCAGUGGAAACUGAUGAACUAGAGCAUGGUAGGGGUAGAGGGAAUUCCCGGUGUAGCGGUGAAAUGCGUAGAUAUCAUUUGGAACGCCAAUGGUGAAAACAGGUUGCUGGGAGUGUGCUGACGCUGAGACACGAAAGCCAGGGGAGCGAACGGG
rnacentral:rRNA from 1 species